GGUACUAUUUGGAUGGUGCACUGCAAUAACACUAACAUGAUGAUGAUGUGUCAGUGUGUGUUGCACUGGUCUGAGUGGAUCAGACACAGCAGGGUGUGUGUGUGUGCAUGUGUGUGUAUAUAUGCCUCCCAGAGUCAUUAAGAAGACAGCCAAGGAGCUUCUCAAGCAGCUGGAGACUUCAUUUAACGUUGCACUCCCUGUGUUUUUAAUUUAUCAGCGUCUGGUGGAACGUCUAAAGGAGGAACUACAGACGCUGUUCCAGAUAGAAAUUACCCCCCUGGUCCUUGAUGGGCAGCUCUUCCCUUACGAGAAUGAAGCCGCUUCUUACAUUGUCAAUGAGGCAUACAAAAGCCUUUUGAAACAGCGCUUAACACCAUCCUGAAAGAGUUUAUUGACUACGCUCUGGGAUGUUUUAUUGUCUUUAGUUGUUCCCCAUAUGCUGCUGAGGAAACAUCCCAGGAGUUGGGGUUGCCUGAGCUUCAGGAGGAUUCAGAUCGGCAGUCAAAAUCCAAUGAGUCCAGAAGAAGGAGCGAGAGUGCUGCUUCAAGAAAUCUGAGCGCCGGGUCCUGCAGCACCGUUCUCAGUGAAUCAGGUCUAUCAGAACUUGAGAACUUGAUCCAAGAAUGUGAUGGUUCUCCUCACCUGAGUGAUCUGAGCGAUGAGUGCUCUGAGAUCUUCACCGCGUAUCAGAACUAUCGACAGUACAGCCCCACGAAAAGACCCUGCACGUACCUGGUGAAGUCUGCUGAAUCUCCCCUGGAAGGCUCCCCUGAUUUGUCCAACUCCAUCCCUUCGGUUCAGGUGUCUGAGGCCUCUGAGGACUUGGUGGAGAAUAGAGUGUUUUCAACUUCCUGAGAAGAGUCAUCUGCUUGGAUGCAUCCCAUCUCGUCGUGUGGAACCCCUUUAAACUUCCUGUGUCUUCAACCCCUUCUCAAAAAAAAAAACACCCUUUUCCUUAAUAAAAA